rnacentral:rRNA from 1 species
GCGGCGUGCUUAACACAUGCAAGUCGAACGGGGAUUAUUUUGACAGAGACUUCGGUUGAAGUCGUUAUAAUCCUAGUGGCGGACGGGUGAGUAACGCGUGGGUAACCUGCCUCACACUGGGGGAUAACAGUCAGAAAUGACUGCUAAUACCGCAUAAGCGCACGGGAUUGCAUGAUCCAGUGUGAAAAACUCCGGUGGUGUGAGAUGGACCCGCGUUGGAUUAGCCAGUUGGCAGGGUAACGGCCUACCAAAGCGACGAUCCAUAGCCGGCCUGAGAGGGUGGACGGCCACAUUGGGACUGAGACACGGCCCAGACUCCUACGGGAGGCAGCAGUGGGGAAUAUUGCACAAUGGGGGAAACCCUGAUGCAGCGACGCCGCGUGAAGGAAGAAGUAUCUCGGUAUGUAAACUUCUAUCAGCAGGGAAGAAAAUGACGGUACCUGACUAAGAAGCCCCGGCUAACUACGUGCCAGCAGCCGCGGUAAUACGUAGGGGGCAAGCGUUAUCCGGAUUUACUGGGUGUAAAGGGAGCGUAGACGGAGCAGCAAGUCUGAUGUGAAAGGCGGGGGCUCAACCCCCGGACUGCAUUGGAAACUGUUGAUCUUGAGUACCGGAGAGGUAAGCGGAAUUCCUAGUGUAGCGGUGAAAUGCGUAGAUAUUAGGAGGAACACCA